rnacentral:rRNA from 1 species
CUGGGGCAGCUACACAUGCAAGUCGAGCGGAUGACGGGAGCUUGCUCCUUGAUUCAGCGGCGGACGGGUGAGUAAUGCCUAGGAAUCUGCCUGGUAGUGGGGGACAACGUUUCGAAAGGAACGCUAAUACCGCAUACGUCCUACGGGAGAAAGCAGGGGACCUUCGGGCCUUGCGCUAUCAGAUGAGCCUAGGUCGGAUUAGCUUGUUGGUGAGGUAAUGGCUCACCAAGGCGACGAUCCGUAACUGGUCUGAGAGGAUGAUCAGUCACACUGGAACUGAGACACGGUCCAGACUCCUACGGGAGGCAGCAGUGGGGAAUAUUGGACAAUGGGCGAAAGCCUGAUCCAGCCAUGCCGCGUGUGUGAAGAAGGUCUUCGGAUUGUAAAGCACUUUAAGUUGGGAGGAAGGGUUGUAGAUUAAUACUCUGCAAUUUUGACGUUACCGACAGAAUAAGCACCGGCUAACUCUGUGCCAGCAGCCGCGGUAAUACAGAGGGUGCAAGCGUUAAUCGGAAUUACUGGGCGUAAAGCGCGCGUAGGUGGUUUGUUAAGUUGGAUGUGAAAGCCCCGGGCUCAACCUGGGAACUGCAUCCAAAACUGGCAAGCUAGAGUACGGUAGAGGGUGGUGGAAUUUCCUGUGUAGCGGUGAAAUGCGUAGAUAUAGGAAGGAACACCAGUGGCGAAGGCGACCACCUGGACUGAUACUGACACUGAGGUGCGAAAGCGUGGGGAGCAAACAGGAUUAGAUACCCUGGUAGUCCACGCCGUAACGAUGUCAACUAGCCGUUGGAAUCCUUGAGAUUUUAGUGGCGCAGCUAACGCAUUAAGUUGACCGCCUGGGGAGUACGGCCGCAAGGUUAAAACUCAAAUGAAUUGACGGGGGCCCGCACAGCGGUGGAGCAUGUGUUUAAUUCGAAGCAACGCGAAGAACCUUACCAGGCCUUGACAUGCAGAGACUUUCCAGGAGAUGGAUUGGUGCCUUCGGACUCUGACACAGGUGCUGCAUGCUGUCGUCAGCUCGUGUCGGGAGAAUGUUGGGUUAAGUCCGUACGAGCCCAACCUUGUUCCUUAGUACCAGCACCGUAUGUGGCACUCUAGGGAACUGCGGGUGACAACGAGGAGGUGGGGAUGGCGUCAGUCAUCUAUGCCUUACGGCUUGCUACACUGUCUCAUGGUCGGUACAAAGGUGCAAGCCGAGGUGGACCUAUCCAAACGAUCGAUCGAUCGAUGCACUUCCAGCUGUGAGUCGAAUCCAGUAGAUAUCGGCACAUCGAUAG